rnacentral:tRNA from 1 species
GGAGAGGUUGUCGAGUGGAUCAAAGUGCACGCUUGGAAAGUGUGUGAACGGGCAACCAUUUUAAAAGUUCAGAUCCCUCUCUUCGCCA